rnacentral:rRNA from 1 species
GACGAACCGAGCGAACGUUAUUCGGAAUCACUGGGCUUAAAGGGCGCGUAGGCGGGCGGCCAAGUCAGGGGUGAAAGCCCCCAGCUCAACUGGGGAAGUGCCUUUGAUACUGGUCACCUCGAGGGAGAUAGGGGCGUGCGGAACUUCCGGUGGAGCGGUGAAAUGCGUAGAUAUCGGAAGGAACACCGGUGGCGAAAGCGGCGCGCUGGAUCUCUUCUGACGCUGAGGCGCGAAAGCCAGGGGAGCGAACGGG